rnacentral:rRNA from 1 species
GUGGGGAAUAUUGGACAAUGGGGGCAACCCUGAUCCAGCGACGCCGCGUGAGUGAAGAAGUAUCUCGGUAUGUAAAGCUCUAUCAGCAGGGAAGAUAAUGACGGUACCUGACUAAGAAGCACCGGCUAAAUACGUGCCAGCAGCCGCGGUAAUACGUAUGGUGCAAGCGUUAUCCGGAUUUACUGGGUGUAAAGGGUGCGUAGGUGGAAUGGUAAGUCAGAUGUGAAAACUAUGGGCUCAACCCAUAGACUGCAUUUGAAACUGCCGAUCUAGAGUGCAGGAGAGGAAAGUGGAAUUCCUAGUGUAGCGGUGAAAUGCGUAGAUAUUAGGAGGAACACCAGUGGCGAAGGCGGCUUUCUGGACUGUUACUGACACUGAGGCACGAAAGCGUGGGGAGCAAACAGG